GGGAGUUUACUGAUCACGAAGAAUGUUUAGUACGAGGCACACUGAGGGACGUUGAUAAUUACUUGCAGACUUGAAGGAAGGGUACCGGUUAGCCAGAAGAAAGGAGGUUGAAUAGAGCAGUGGGUGGCAUCUUUGAAGCGGAAGUCGGCACCUAACUCCCACUUCCUGUUUUUCUCUGCACCCAGCGCACCAACCUGGGAAUCUCUGGAGCCGCAAGCCAGGUGUGCCCCUCCUCCUCCUUCCCUCUAUGUCUUAGGAGGACCCAGGGCCCCUGUAUCUCAGCAGCCCCUUGCACAGGAGUCCUCUCCCUUCUUCCAUCGUCCUACCUUUUCCUAGGCGACACUGACUGGGAAGAGUUAAGGCCAGUGAGAGCACACAUCCUAGAGAGGCAGAGAGGCUGACAGCCGACCUGACGCACACGCACUCCGGCUUCCUGGACUGAGUUGGAGGCUCUGUCUCUAUUCGGUAUCCACUCCUGCAUCCUACAUUCCUUUCCCGGCCCCUAUGCGAGAUCCCCAUUCGCUGUGCUCUCCUGUCGCACCCUGGGGCACUGAUCUGUGAAUCCCCGAGAGCUCGGGAGGAGGCAGGAGGCAGGGGGACCGGGCUGCCACGGGCAGAGUCUCAUGGCGGGAACCGGCCCGUGCAGGCUGGGGAAGUGAGAUCUGCCAGGCCAUCUGCUCCCCAGCUCGGGAAACGGCUGGCCCAGGGAGCACAGACACGCUUUCCCUGUGAGCCGGCUAACCACGGCAUCCAUGCACUCUGCAACUGGGGUUCAGAGGCUGCUGACAUUUGAGGAGGUGGCCGUGAGUUUCUCCCAGGAAGAGUGGGGGUGUCUGGACUUUGCGCAAAGGGCCCUCUACAGGGGUGUUAUGUGGGAGAACUACAGACAUCUGACUUCUGUGGAGUGGCGUGGUACAGAGACUACAGGGCAGAAUAGCUGUGGAUAGUUUAGUAAGAAAUUUUUGAUCUUCUAAUUGAUCCACUAGGAUUCCUGUUUCCUAAACCUGAGCUAAUCUCACAGCAGGAGCAAGAUGAGGAGCCAUGGAUUCUUGAUGCCCCAAGAAGGCUUAUUCCAGGCUUUCCUGCAGGUGACAUGCCUGAAACCCCUACCCUGCCGAGGGAGGGCUGUGAGGCCGGCGACCUCUGGGGACUCCUUUCCCCAGCCUAGCCCAGUGGGGACGACGUCUCUGGGGAGCCUUCUGAUAAGG